rfam:Astyanax mexicanus chromosome 19, whole genome shotgun sequence.
AUGAAACAUUUUUGUAAGUCGCUCUGGGUAAGAGCAUCUGCUAAAUGGUUUAAA